rnacentral:rRNA from 1 species
AGUGAACGCUGGCGGUAGGCCUAACACAUGCCAGUCGAACGGCAGCACAGUAAGAGCUUGCUCUUACGGGUGGCGAGUGGCGGACGGGUGAGGAAUACAUCGGAAUCUACUUUUUCGUGGGGGAUAACGUAGGGAAACUUACGCUAAUACCGCAUACGACCUACGGGUGAAAGCAGGGGAUCUUCGGACCUUGCGCGAUUGAAUGAGCCGAUGUCGGAUUAGCUAGUUGGCGGGGUAAAGGCCCACCAAGGCGACGAUCCGUAGCUGGUCUGAGAGGAUGAUCAGCCACACUGGAACUGAGACACGGUCCAGACUCCUACGGGAGGCAGCAGUGGGGAAUAUUGGACAAUGGGCGCAAGCCUGAUCCAGCCAUACCGCGUGGGUGAAGAAGGCCUUCGGGUUGUAACGCCCUUUUGUUGGGAAAGAAAAGCAGCAGGUUAAUACCCCGCUGUUCUGACGGUACCCAAAGAAUAAGCACCGGCUAACUUCGUG